ensembl:lncRNA
GUAAGCAUGAGAUGGGAAGAGUAUCCCAGACAAGAAGCCAUCAUAAAGCAAGAACUAGCAUGGCGCAUUGGAAGAUCAGAAAUUGACCCUGCAUCUUAACGGAACUUUACAAUCAGAGUUAUGUUUACUUCAUCCUUCAAGUGUUCUUCACAAUUCUUCCGUUAUUUAAUUUCUUAAAAAUAGGACUUGCAAGUUAAAGAAAAUCAUGCCAUCUUUCCACUCAGAUAGGAAAGGAGGUGGUAGAUAAGUAAUGUUAAAUGAUACAUGUCAGGUAUCCCUCUCAGCACUUAUAGAUACUAUGGGUACAUGCCCUAGCUCUUCUUUUGUGAGCAAACCAUUUGUACCCACUUAAAUAUAGGUUUGCUAUUUUGUUGUGGAUUACUUCAAAUAUCUAAUGAAAAUCAUCUGACUUGGAGGCCAAAACAAAGCUGAUCUGAGAGCGUGUGUUGGAGCAGAAUAAUAAUGUACUGUUCAGAAUUCAGUCAAAGCUUCCUCAUGUCCUUCUGCACAUCACAUGCAGGAUACAGGAACUGGGAGACAGCUGACUAAGCAUGAAAAGAUCACUUUUAGAGUCUCCAUUACCGCCUCUCCCUCCAGCCCCAAGCACUGUAGAAGCACAGACGAGAGAGGAGAGUUAUGGAUUGAGAGUUUCAGAGGCUUCAGGAUGGCUGACUGGAGGCAUCUGGUACUCACCUCUUCCACGACGAUGAACCAAAAUAAUGAGUAGAUAAUCAUACUUUUAAUACAUCCCCUAAAAGAGAAUGCUGGAAUUCAAUAGAAAAGCGACAGGAAAUACCUAGAGCAAUGAAGGAGAAUGAAACAAGACAGCCUAUUCAGCUGGGAUCAGCUGGGAUCCUGGAGAAUCUCCUCAAUGUGGGGAAAGGGAAUUGGAGGGAAGUAUUAUUACAUGAGGAGAAAAAGAAGAAAAGAAAAAGAAAGAAGCCAGGUACUGGUGCCUCAGCCUGCAUUUCCAUCCAGUGAUUCCAUAUACUUACAGACAGAUGGCUGCUGCCAGUUUCCUUGGGGGUCAAUGCUAAAAAUAAAAACAAAAGCUUUCUCUGCUUUCUGUUUCGCUCAUCCCCUUGUCCUCUCCCCUCAGGGACAAAAAUGCUCUCCUUCUGCCUCCCACAGGGUGCAGUGGGGCAUUGGAGCUGCCUUCAGUAUCCUCCAAUGAACAGAGCAGCGGGCCUGACUCAAUGUCAUGCCCCAUCUCUCCCAGCCUCUUAGAGACCUGGGGAGAAAUGGCCCAGCUGGCAGGAGCUUGAGAGCUGCUGUCUGCCUCUCAGCGGCAAGUCUCCUCACAAAUUGGCCAGAGGCUGCCAUCUGAGUGGAGAGGGAGUAGGGCCAACAACUUCAGUUCAUAUUAGGCUCUUCCCUGCACGAGCAAUGUCAAGAAAGCAAGAAACAUUUUUGCCUUAGUAGCUCUAAUUUUUGUUGGAGACAUGUGCCUUGGAUUUGCAGGUCAAGAAAUCUUGAGUUGAACUCUCUAAUCUACUAUAUGCAUUCACUGCCUCAUGCAGCCCUUGUGUAUUGAGCAUUGAGCACCUCCAGGUAUGGUGUUAGUUAUAGGGGGUACAAGACAUGGAAAAUCUGACCUUGGCUCUCAAGGAGCUCACGGACUAUAGGUGAACGCAAGUCUAUUGCAGACAGCAUAGUAACGUGAGUGCAGUGUAUAAAAAGAGAAUGCGAUGGCAUUUAGGAAAGCCUCUGAGUGAUAUCAGUAAAGGGAAACAAGAGGUUACCUGGCCAUGUGUGUGGGGAAAACCAGGGAAGCAUAUUUCCUGCAGAGAAAACCACCCCCACCACUUUCAUUUUUAAACUCAGUCUGCGAUGACUGCCGGAGUUGAGGCUUGUCCACAGUCAAUGUUUGGAUAAAAAAGAACAUGCAUCACAUGGCCCUGUCCCAUAGUUCAGCAAUGUUGCCCUGACUCUCCAUACCUGCCUGCAUCUCUGGCCAGCAUGUUGCCCUGUUCUCUCUGUUUCUGUUAUUACCAGGCAGGCUGUCUCCACAUGAGAGCUCCCAGAAACUCUAGCCUACUCUCAUAUUCUCCAGCUAGCAACCUCAGCAAUACAAAAGCCAGUUUUCCCUGAAGUUCCGGCAAAAAUCCCAAACCCUGAUUAGAAUCAGGGUUGUAUCCUCAGUCCUGAAAAAAAUCCUUGAGGCAAAGGAAUAUGCUCAUCGAUGAAUUCUGGGUCAGUCUCACCUCCACACAGAUGCUGAGAUGGUUCUUUGCUGCUGUUAACAAAAUUUGGAGGAAUAGAUAUGGACAGCCAAAAAUAAAAACUGUACACUAUUUGUCAUGAGCUCUCAGCGUCUGUUUUCUAUCCACUGGACUAGAUAAAUGCUCUUUAGGAGAGUCUAGACAACGGCCAGAGAGCAGGGACUGGAAAGAGGAUGAAAAGAAGGAAAUGGAAUAAUCUCGUCGGUAAAGCACAAUGAAAGAAGGCAGCAACAAUUGCAUCUUUUAAAGUAACUCAACAAACAUUGAGAUGUCUCAGACAUGUUCAAAACUUUAUUUCUAAUUGGACCCACAAGUCAAGACUUGUGAUUUCAUGGAAUUUACAUUCUAAAAGGAAGAUGGAUAUAGCUGCAGUUCUAGACAUAGAUACAAAUAUGCAUGUAGCUAUAGAUAGAUGGAUAAGACAGAUAUGGAAGUAGAUGUGGGAGGAGGGAAAAGGAAGACAAAUCAAGAAGAGGCCCCAGGCGUGACCUUAGGGAAUUUGCCCUUUUAGGGAGAAACUAAACAUACACAGUGAAACAGCUGGAGACAAUAGCUCCAUAUUUCACAAUAUAAAAGUAUAUGAAAGUACACCAGAUAUGCACAGAGGCUGAAAAAGUUUUAUAACAGGAGAAAGUAUAUUGAGUUGAGGUUAUUCAAGUAGAGUUUUGUGGUAUCAUUCUCCAGUUUUGAAGUUGAAAGACUUUCAAGUGUUCUAAGAGGAAGGAACAAACACUGGCCAUUGUUUCUUAAAUUCACUUAACAAUAAGACUCAUUUCAAGUGUUUAUAAAUUUCUGAACCCUAUCGAGACUUUCUGAUUUAUAUUUUCCCCAGGAUAGGCUGGGUGAUCUGUAUUUUAAAUGACACUGUGACUGCUCCUAUCACCAGGAAAGUGUGAGACUGCUUGCUUACCAGGCUGGCAGGUGCAAAGCAAGGUGGAACGCAGCAUGCAGGAUGCCCUCAGGCCCUUCUUCAUACUCAGCACUACUACUUAUGUCUGUGUCUAAUGAGGAGUGCAGAACUAUUGUUAAAGGCUUUCUUUGCUUGGGUUUAUAGAAUGUGAGAAUGCAAGGGAAUAAGACAUGGCUAUUGGAAUUAGUAGAAGGUGCGGGGAACAAAUCCCAAAUGCUAGCAGAUCAUGUGAAAGGAGACAGAUUUUCCCCGGCAAACAGAGAGGGGGGCUAUAAAGAUUGCAGACAAAAAUAUCCAGAGUGUGUGCGUCUAAUUCAAUUAAGCCCCUGUUUUCCAUCCAGCCUGCAUCCCAAGUGCUCCACUAGCAUAUGCUGCUGCACUAACAACGCCUUGUGGAUGCACAGCACUCCCUGAGGUGGGAGAGGACAGCUGCUUAAUACUCGUUGUGCACAGCAGGGCAGAAGGUAAAGAACAAGCCCUCGGUAUGGCUUGGGAGGCCCUGGGUAGACCGCAGGGAAGAUUUCUGACAAGACAGAAGCCAGAACGGAAAUUCUACUAAGGCUAUUAGUGUACGGUAUAUCCAUAAUCUAUCAGGAAAUGUCUUGGGGGUUUGCAACUAUAAAUAGUUAAGACCUUGGGGCUUCCUCAGUAAGUUUGCGGGAAUUAAUAGCAUCACUGCCUGAUGCUGUGGGUGGGGUCUUACUUUAAAAUAUUUUUCCUUAUCUCUGAGAAGUUGAAGAGAUUCAAGGCAGCCAAUAUAACACUACUAAUGAUGAAGCCAUAUCCAAUGGGAAUAGACAUUAGCAUCAGUUCACAGAAAGAUUUCUGGCUUGAACUGGGCUUAGGGUGCUGCAUUGCUCUGCACCUUGAAGAGGGGUGUGGCCACAUAAUUUACUUUGGCCAAUGGAAUGUGAGUGGAAGUGGUGUACACCACUCCAGAUGGAUGCUUUAAAAACUGGUGUGUUACUGGUCACUCUCUCUUUCCAACUACCAUAGUGAAAGGCAAAUGAUGGCAGAUGGUAGCUGCUCUGAUCCUGGAGCACAGGGCUGCCGAAGAGCAGUGCCCCCAGCUGACCCAUGAUGGACUAUAAUAUGAGAGAGAAAUUAGCCUUGUGGUUUUCAGCCUUGAUUCGGUGGUUAUUUGCUACUGCAGCACAACCCAGUCUAGGGUGAUUAAUGCAUUCAGCCAAUUAAUGUUUUCCCCUCAUCCAGGGGUAGUAAUCAUAUUAUCAUGUAUCACCAAGUUGCUUUGUCAGAUAGGUAAGAAGAAAUCUGUUCUUAGCCCAGCUAAAAGCAAGGCAAAUCUUUCUUUGCUCUUCUCCAGAACAAUGUAGCCUUUUAUUAAAGUCAAACAGAUAGAUUUUAACUAUGCUAAUAUGAUACUUUCAUUAGUUUCUCCAACAUAAUUCUUAGUUUUUCUUGCAGGUUCCUUGAGUCAGUUAGCUAUUAUUCCUUUGCCUAGAUUGUCACAACAACGUCUUAGUUGGCCUUUCUGCCUAUGGAGUUUUUCUCUUUUUACACUGCUACCCGAGUUUUUAACAAUUAAUCCCGACCUCAGACUUGAAUAACUUUCCUGCUUCAAACUCCACCAUAGUUCCCCAUUGUCUAUCAUAAAGUACUAGCAAUAUGCGAAGGAUUAAGGUAUUCUAAGAAAUGAUCUAAUUUUCCUUAUUAGCAACCACACACACACACACACACACACACACAGAGAGAGAGAGAAAUACAUGGGGAAAGCCAAAUCAUCUAUUAAUUAGUACAUAAUUAGUACACUAUUUGAGUAAAGACCCCCAACUUUCUCUUAAGUUCCCAAGAGAUAUUUCAGAGUCAGAGUGACCCCUAAGUCAGACCCAGGCUCUAAGAUGCCCCUCUGUACUCUGCACCCCCUUUAAACUUGGGGCAAUUAAAAG